UACGUAGGGGGCAAGCGUUGUCCGGAAUCAUUGGGCGUAAAGAGCGUGUAGGCGGCCAGAUAAGUCCGCUGUGAAAUCUCGAGGCUCAACUUCGAGCUGUCGGUGGAAACUGUCUGGCUAGAGUCCGGAAGAGGAGAAUGGAAUUCCUGGUGUAGCGGUGAAAUGCGCAGAUAUCAGGAAGAACACCCGUGGCGAAGGCGGUCUGCUGGGCAGUUGCUGACGCUGAUGCGCGACAGCGUGGGGAGCAAACAGG
rnacentral:rRNA from 1 species